UCCCUGGUGGUCCAGUGGUUAAGAUUCCAUCCUUCCAAGGCAGGGGGCUCAGGUUUGAUCCCUGGUCAGGGAA
rnacentral:tRNA from 1 species